rnacentral:misc_RNA from 1 species
UUUCCGUAGGUGAACCUGCGGAAGGAUCAUUAUUUGAUAACCGAGGUGCGAGGGCUGUCGCUGACCCGAAAGGUCGUGCACGCCCGAGUGCCCUCACACACAUCCAUCUCACCCCUAUGUGCACCACCGCGUGGGUCCCCCUUUGGCUUGUUCGGAGGGGGGCUUACGUUUUCACACAAACUUUGUAUGCAGUGUAGAAUGUAUUUUUUGUUUUUGCGAUCACGCAAUCAAUACAACUUUCAACAACGGAUCUCUUGGCUCUC